UACGUAGGGGGCGAGCGUUGUCCGGAUUUAUUGGGCGUAAAGAGCUCGUAGGCGGUUUCGUAAGUCGGAUGUGAAAACUCCAGGCUCAACUUGGAGACGCCACCUGAUACUGCUGUGGCUAGAGUCCGGUAGGGGAGCAUGGAAUUCCUGGUGUAGCGGUGAAAUGCGCAGAUAUCAGGAGGAACACCAGUGGCGAAGGCGGUGCUCUGGGCCGGAACUGACGCUGAGGAGCGAAAGCGUGGGGAGCAAACAGG
rnacentral:rRNA from 1 species